UCACUUUCAACAACGGAUCUCUUGGUUCUCGCAUCGAUGAAGAACGUAGCGAAGUGCGAUAAGUAGUGUGAAUUGCAGAAUUCCGUGGAUCAUCGAAUUUUUGAACGCAAAUUGCACUCUCUGGUAUUCCGGAGAGUAUGCCUGUUUGAGGGUCAUUA
rnacentral:rRNA from 1 species